GUUUGUUGCUUUGUGUGAUAUUGAAAUCUGGCUCCAGAUAAUUCAAUAAUUGCUUCUUUCCUCUUUUAAGACUCACUGGACUUCAGACAAGUUUGCAGUUCCUGACACUGGAUCUUUCACUGACUGUGAGAGCAAGCAUAGAGUCAUUCCAACAGGCAUUCCCAAAUUGUUCAGGACCAGAUUCCUUCAUGUGCAAGGAGACACAGGUUGAUGAGAGCCUCAUCUGUGAUGGAGUCGAUAG